GGACGAACGCUGGCGGCGUGCUUAACACAUGCAAGUCGAGCGGUAAGGCCCUUUCGGGGGUACACGAGCGGCGAACGGGUGAGUAACACGUGGGUGACCUGCCCUUAGCUCUGGGAUAAGCCUGGGAAACUGGGUCUAAUACCGGAUAUGACUCCAUGACGCAUGUUGUGGGGUGGAAAGCCUUGUGCGGCUAGGGAUGGGCCCGCGGCCUAUCAGCUUGUUGGUGGGGUGAUGGCCACCAAGGCGACGACGGGUAGCCGGCCUGAGAGGGCGACCGGCCACACUGGGACUGAGACACGGCCCAGACUCCUACGGGAGGCAGCAGUGGGGAAUCUUGCGCAAUGGGCGAAAGCCUGACGCAGCGACGCCGCGUGAGGGAUGACGGCCUC
rnacentral:rRNA from 1 species